rnacentral:sRNA from 1 species
UCCGUAGGUGAACCUGCGGAAGGAUCAUUAGUGAAUUGAAUAUGUUAGCGGACCUCUUCGGAGUCCCUAGCAUCAAAUCAUAUCCAUAACACCUGUGAACUGUAAGGCUGUCUUGAAAACGAAAGUGAUUAGAGCGCCUGCCCAUUUUAUACAAACAUUAAAGUAACAAACGUAGUCUUAUUAUAAUCUAAUAAAACUUUCAACAACGGAUCUCUUGGCUCUCGCAUCGAUGAAGAACGCAGCGAAAUGCGAUAAGUAAUGUGAAUUGCAGAAUUCAGUGAAUCAUCGAAUCUUUGAACGCACCUUGCGCUCUUUGGUAUUCCGAAGAGCAUGCCUGUUUGAGUGUCAUGAAAAUAUCAACCUUGACUUGGGUUUAGUGCUCUUGUCUUGGCUUGGAUUUGGCUGUUUGCCGCUCGAAAGAGUCGGCUCAGCUUAAAAGUAUUAGCUGGAUCUGUCUUUGAGACUUGGUUUGACUUGGCGUAAUAAGUUAUUUCGCUGAGGACAAUCUUCGGAUUGGCCGAGUUUCUGGGACGUUUGUCCGCUUUCUAAUACAAGUUCUAGCUUGCUAGACAUGACUUUUUUAUUAUCUGGCCUCAAAUCAGGUAGGACUACCCGCUGAACUUAAGCAUAUCAAUAAGCGGAGGAAAAGAAACUAACAAGGAUUCCCCUAGUAACGGCGAGUGAAGCGGGAAGAGCUCAAAUUUGAAAUCUGGUGGCCUCAGGCUAUCCGAGUUGUAAUCUAUAGAAACAUUUUCCGCGUUGGCCCAUGUACAAGUCUCUUGGAAUAGAGCGUCAUAGAGGGUGAGAAUCCCGUCCUUGACAUGGACUACCAGUGCUUUGUGAUAUGUUUUCAACGAGUCGAGUUUUUUGGGAAUGCAGCUCAAAAUGGGUGGUAAAUUCCAUCUAAAGCUAAAUAUUGGCGAGAGACCGAUAGCGAACAAGUACCGUGAGGGAAAGAUGAAAAGCACUUUGGAAAGAGAGUUAAACAGUAUGUGAAAUUGUUGAAAGGGAAACGCUUGAAGU